rnacentral:rRNA from 1 species
GGUUCGGAUUAUGGCUCAGAUUGAACGCUGGCGGGAUGCUUUACACAUGCAAGUCGAACGGCAGCACGGACUUCGGUCUGGUGGCGAGUGGCGAACGGGUGAGUAAUGUAUCGGAACGUGCCUAGUAGCGGGGAUAACUACGCGAAAGCGUAGGGCUGGAUGGCCGCAUACGCUCGGGGGAAAGCGGGGACCUUUCGGCCUCGCACUAUUAGAGCGGCCGGAUAUCGGAUUAGCUAGUUGGUGGGGUAACGGCUCUCGCUUCACCAAGGCGACGAUCCGUAGCUGGUUUGAGAGGACGACCAGCCACACUGGACUGAGACACGGCCCAGACUCCUACGGGAGGCAGCAGUGGGGAAUUUCCGGACAAUGGGGGAAAACCCUGAUCCAGCCAUCCCGCGUGUGCGAUGAAGGCCUUCGGGCUGUAAAGCACUUUUUGGCAGGAAGGUAAGAAAACGGCACGGGAUAAUACCCCGUGCAACUGAUUUGGUACCUGCAGAAUAAGCACCGGCUAACUACGUGCCAGCAGCCGCGGUAAUACGUAGGGUGCAAGCGUUAAUCGGAAUUACUGGGCGUAAAGCGUGCGCAGGCGGUUCGGAAGGAAAGAUGUGAAAUCCCAGAGCUUAACUUUGAACUGCAUUUUUAACUACCGAGCUAGAGUGUGUCAGAGGGAGGUGGAAUUCCGCGUGUAGCAGUGAAAUGCGUAGAUAUGCGGAGGAACACCGAUGGCGAAGGCAGCCUCCUGGGAUAACACUGACGCUCAUGCACGAAAGCGUGGGGAGCAAACAGGAUUAGAUACUCCUGGUAGUCCACGCCCUAAACGAUGUCAACUAGCUGUUGGGGCCUUCGCCUUAGGCGCAGCUAACGCGUGAAGUUGACCGCCUGGGGAGUACGGUCGCAAGAUUAAACUCAAAGGAAUUGACGGGGACCCGCACAAGCGGUGGAUGAUGUGGAUUAAUUCGAUGCAACGCGAAAACCUUACCUACCCUGACAUGUCUGGAAUCCCGAAGAGAUUUGGGAGUGCUCGCAAGAGAACCGGAACACAGGUGCUGCAUGGCUGUCGUCAGCUCGUGUCGUGAGAUGUUGGGUUAAGUCCCGCAACGAGCGCAACCUUGUCAUUAGUUGCUACGAAAGGGCACUCUAAUGAGACUGCCGGUGACAAACCGGAGGAAGGUGGGGAUGACGUCAAGUCCUCAUGGCCCUUAUGGGUAGGGCUUCACACGUCAUACAAUGGUCGGGACAGAGGUCGCCAACCCGCGAGGGGGAGCUAAUCCCAGAAACCCGAUCGUAGUCCGGAUCGCAGUCUGCAACUCGACUGCGUGAAGUCGGAAUCGCUAGUAAUCGCGGAUCAGCAUGUCGCGGUGAAUACGUUCCCGGGUCUUGGUACACACCGCCCGUCACACCAUGUGGAGUGGGUUUUACCAGAAGUAGUUAGCUCAACCGUAAGGAGGGCGAUUACCACGGUAGGAUUCAUGACUGGGGUGAAGUCGUAACAAGGUAA